UACGAACCGUCCAAACGUUAUUCGGAAUCACUGGGCUUAAAGGGUGCGUAGGCGGCCCGGUAAGUUGGGUGUGAAAUCCCUCGGCUCAACCGAGGAAUGGCGCUCAAGACUGCCGGGCUCGAGGAAGAUAGAGGUGAGCGGAACUUAGGGUGGAGCGGUGAAAUGCGUUGAUAUCCUAAGGAACACCGGUGGCGAAAGCGGCUCACUGGGUCUUUUCUGACGCUGAGGCACGAAAGCUAGGGGAGCGAACGGG
rnacentral:rRNA from 1 species